ensembl:rRNA 5S_rRNA 5S ribosomal RNA
GUCCACAGCUAUGCCACCCUGAACACACGUGAUCUCCUCUGGUCUUGGAAGCCAAGCAGGUUGGGUCUGGUUAGUACUUGGAUGGGAGAGUACCUGGGAAUACCAAGUGCUGUAGGCU